rnacentral:lncRNA from 1 species
CAAAAUGGUCAGGCACCUGGAGAAUACCUCAGAUACACAAAGAGAACAUCCCACCAGCAUGGAAAGUAUCAGAUGAAAGGAAAGAAAGAAGGAUGAAAGGACUUGUGGGAGAGAGGGAGAAAAGAAGAAAAGAAAAAAGGGCAGAAG